rnacentral:rRNA from 1 species
AGCGCGUGAGUGAUGAAAGCCUUAGGGUUGUAAAGCUCUUUUACCAGGCAUGAUAAUGACAGUACCUGGAGAAUAAGCUCCGGCUAACUCCGUGCCAGCAGCCGCGGUAAUACGGAGGGAGCUAGCGUUGUUCGGAAUUACUGGGCGUAAAGCGCACGUAGGCGGUUACUCAAGUCAGAGGUGAAAGCCCGGGGCUCAAACCCGGAACUGCCUUUGAAACUAGGUAACUAGAAUCCUGGAGAGGUGAGUGGAAUUCCGAGUGUAGAGGUGAAAUUCGUAGAUAUUCGGAAGAACACCAGUGGCGAAAGGCGGGCUCACUUGGACAGAGUAUUGAACGCUGAGAGUGCGAAAGCGUGGGGAGCAAACAGGAUUAGAUACCCUGGUAGUCCACGCCGUAAACGAUUGAUAACUAACUGUCCG